rnacentral:rRNA from 1 species
AUUGAACGCUGGCGGAAUGCUUUACACAUGCAAGUCGAGCGGCAGCGCGGGGGCAACCCUGGCGGCGAGCGGCGAACGGGUGAGUAACAUAUCGGAACGUACCCUGUCGUGGGGGAUAACACAGCGAAAGCUGUGCUAAUACCGCAUACGACCUGAGGGUGAAAGCGGGGGAUCGCAAGACCUCGCGCGAUGGGAGCGGCCGAUAUCGGAUUAGCUUGUUGGUGAGGUAAAGGCUCACCAAGGCGACGAUCCGUAGCUGGUCUGAGAGGACGACCAGCCACACUGGAACUGAGACACGGUCCAGACUCCUACGGGAGGCAGCAGUGGGGAAUUUUGGACAAUGGGGGCAACCCUGAUCCAGCCAUUCCGCGUGAGUGAAGAAGG